rnacentral:rRNA from 1 species
AGUGAACGCUGGCGGUAGGCCUAACACAUGCAAGUCGAACGGCAGCACAGUAAGAGCUUGCUCUUACGGGUGGCGAGUGGCGGACGAGUGAGGAAUACAUCGGAAUCUACUUUUUCGUGGGGGAUAACGUAGGGAAACUUACGCUAAUACCGCAUACGACCUACGGGUGAGAGCAGGGGAUCUUCGGACCUUGCGCGAUUGAAUGAGCCGAUGUCGGAUUAGCUAGUUGGCGGGGUAAAGGCCCACCAAGGCGACGAUCCGUAGCUGGUCUGAGAGGAUGAUCAGCCACACUGGAACUGAGACGCGGUCCAGACUCCUACGGGAGGCAGCAGUGGGGAAUAUUGGACAAUGGGCGCAAGCCUGAUCCAGCCAUACCGCGUGGGUGAAGAAGGCCUUCGGGUUGUAAAGCCCUUUUGUUGGGAAAGAAAAGCAGCAGGUUAAUACCCCGCUGUUCUGACGGUACCCAAAGAAUAAGCACCGGCUAACUUCGUG